rnacentral:rRNA from 1 species
AUUGAACGCUGGCGGCAGGCCUAACACAUGCAAGUCGAACGAGUGGCGGACGGGUGAGUAAUGUCUGGGAAACUGCCCGAUGGAGGGGGAUAACUACCGGAAACGGUAGCUAAUACCGCAUACCAUCCGAUGAGCCUAGAUGGGAUUAGCUAGUAGGGGGGGUAACGGCUCACCUAGGCGGCGAUCCCUAGCUGGUCUGAGAGGAUGACCAGCCACACUGGAACUGAGACACGGUCCAGACUCCUACGGGAGGCAGCAGUGGGGAAUAUUGCACAAUGGGCGCAAGCCUGAUGCAGCCAUGCCGAGUGUAUGAAGAAGGCCUUCGGGUUGUAAAGUACUUUCAGCGGGGAGGCGUUACUCGCAGAAGAAGCACCGGCUAACUCCGUGCCAGCAGCCGCGGUAAUAC